GGUUACAGUCCGACAGGGGACAGGUUAGGUUAGGGGGCUGAGGAGGCUGUUAUGGUUACAGUCAGACAGGGGACAGGUUAGGUUAGGGGGCUGAGGAGGCUGUUAUGGUUACAGUCAGACAGGGGACAGGUUAGGUUAGGGGGCUCUUGGUUCUUAGUGUGUUUGUCUGGGCAUGUUGAGCAGUGGUUUAGUUGUGCAGUGGUUCUGUGGGUUCUAGAAUAGUUCAACUAGAAGUGAAUUUUGGGUCAUUCCAGAUGUGACAAAGUCCAGAUGAAAUCUAGAGGGGUGAAAUCUAGAGUGGUGAAAUCUAGAGUGGUGAAAUCUAGAGGGGUGAAAUCUAGAGGGGGUAUAGGACAUGUUGAUUGUAUAGAGGAGGAUUGUAGUUCAUGUUUUAUUUUGAUAGUUCUAUUGACCAUUUUAUCUCAUCAUCUCAUCAAACUGAACUACAGAACAUAAUAAUAUAUAUUUUAUCUCAUCAAACUGAACUACAGAACAUAAUAAUCUAUAUUCUAUCUCACCAAACUGAACUACAGAACAUAAUAAUCUAUAUUUUAUCUCACCAAACUGAACUACAGAACAUAAUAAUCUAUAUUUUAUCUCAUCAAACUGAACUACAGAACAUAAUAAUCUAUAUUUUAUCUCACCAAACUGAACUACAG
rnacentral:lncRNA from 1 species